CUUUCUGUGUCCCUGAGAGCACAAUGCAGCCUCCAGUCUCAGCAGGUCGACAGAGCAGAUCAGUUUUUAACAUGGUUCCUGUCUGCUGCGCUUUAUUUUGGAAAUCACACAACAGGCAAACACAUCUGAGCUGAGCUGCAAUUUUGAGUUGUGGGGGGCGCCGUCGUUUGGAUGCCAGGUUAAUGUUAUUCCGCUUACCCGGCCUCGGGUUGAAGUUAUUCCGGCUCAGUGAGCAGUUAUUGCAGCUGUUGGCUGUUUUCUGACCCACAGGAGGACGUGAGAGCAUAGCUGUUGAAACAGCGCUCGGAUUCAUAAAGGCUGAAGGUGAACCACAGUUCUUUCUUUCACACUUGGAAUUCUUUGCAUGAUUAUCUGGUUUGGAGCAUGUGGGAAGCCGUGACUGAGAAAGGUCUGAAAAGCCUUUUUAUUCCGAGACGAAUGAUUACUGGAUGCCGAGUGAGUGCAAGGAGCCUUUGUUCUUUGGACUCCGCCCCCUCGCCCUUGUGCUGAAGGAUUUCUGCAGGUGGAGGACAAUGGCGAGAAGGUCUGCUGCUUUGUUUCUGCUGUUCUGCUGCU